AUGUCACCACCUGCUCCUCCGGUGGUCCCCAGGAAGCCGUCAGGCAUCCGAGUCAUGAUCCCUCAAACAGAGCAGCCUUCUGCUGGCGUACUGCCCGUCUACACAGACUCUGGAAAAGAGAGCGGUGCCAAUGGGGACUCUGAUCACAUGACUGCUCUGAACGCUGACAGAGAAGUGGUAAUUCUGAACCACUGCUUUGACGAUGUGGAGAGAUUCAUGAUGCGCCUGCAGCAGACAGCCGAGGCUCAGAGUGUCCUCAACCAGAGGAAGAAGAAGAAGAGAAGCAGGAAGAGCAAGAACCAGGGGGACCAAGACGGUGAGAGGUUCAGGACACAGGCUGGAUGUGUGUUACACUCAGUCAACAGGCAGGUCACAAACAAACUUUACAAAGUAAUCCAGAAAAUUCUUCACAUCUAAGAAACGGAGUCA
rnacentral:lncRNA from 1 species